rnacentral:misc_RNA from 1 species
CAAUGCAUAGGCCAUGCAUGUGACUACUGGCAGGAUCAACCAGGUAGCAUUCCU